GAUGAACGCUAGCUACAGGCUUAACUCAUGCAAGUCGAGGGGCAGCGGUAUCGAAAGCUUGCUUUCGGUAGCCGGCGACCGGCGCACGGGUGAGUAACGCGUAUCGAACCUGCCUCAUACUCGGGAAUAGCCUUGCGAAAGUAAGAUUAAUGCCCGGUGUUUUCAGAGUCCCGCAUGAGGCUUUGAACAAAGAUUUAUCGGUAUGAGAUGGCGAUGCGUCCCAUUAGCUUGUUGGCGGGGUAACGGCCCACCAAGGCAUCGAUGGGUAGGGGUUCUGAGAGGAAGGUCCCCCACAUUGGAACUGAGACACGGUCCAAACUCCUACGGGAGGCAGCAGUGAGGAAUAUUGGUCAAUGGGCGGAAGCCUGAACCAGCCAAGUAGCGUGCAGGAAGACGGCCCUCCGGGUUGUAAACUGCUUUUAGUUGGGAAUAAAACGGGGCUCGUGAGCCCCCUUGCAUGUACCAUCAGAAAAAGGACCGGCUAAUUCCGUG
rnacentral:rRNA from 1 species